UACGAAGGGGGCUAGCGUUGUUCGGAAUCACUGGGCUUAAAGGGCGCGUAGGCGGUCCGACAAGUCAGGGGUGAAAUCCUGCAGCUUAACUGCAGAAGUGCCUUUGAUACUGUCGGUCUGGAGGGAGAUAGGGGUGUGCGGAACUUCCAGUGGAGCGGUGAAAUGCGUUGAUAUUGGAAGGAACGCCGGGGCGAAAGCGGCGCACUGGAUCUCUUCUGACGCUGAGGCGCGAAAGCUAGGGGAGCAAACGGG
rnacentral:rRNA from 1 species